rnacentral:rRNA from 1 species
GAUGAACGCUGGCGGCGUGCCUAAUACAUGCCAGUCGAGCGAACAGACGAGGAGCUUGCUCCUCUGAUGUUAGCGGCGGACGGGUGAGUAACACGUGGAUAACCUACCUAUAAGACUGGGAUAACUUCGGGAAACCGGAGCUAAUACCGGAUAACAUGUUGAACCGCAUGGUUCAACAGUGAAAGACGGUCUUGCUGUCACUUAUAGAUGGAUCCGCGCCGCAUUAGCUAGUUGGUAAGGUAACGGCUUACCAGGGCAACGAUGCGUAGCCGACCUGAGAGGGUGAUCGGCCACACUGGAACUGAGACACGGUCCAGACUCCUACGGGAGGCAGCAGUAGGGAAUCUUCCGCAAUGGGCGAAAGCCUGACGGAGCAACGCCGCGUGAGUGAAGAAGGUCUUCGGAUCGUAAAACUCUGUUAUUAGGGAAGAACAAAUGUGUAAGUAACUAUGCACGUCUUGACGGUACCUAAUCAGAAAGCCACGGCUAACUACGUG